GCGGCCUUGGUGUAGUGGUCAGCAUUGUUGCCUUCCAAGCAACAGAGGGGGGUUCGAUUCCCCCAGGUCGCA
rfam:Chaetomium thermophilum var. thermophilum DSM 1495 unplaced genomic scaffold scf7180000011812, whole genome shotgun sequence.